rnacentral:ncRNA from 1 species
AGUGGGGAGCUCGGGUAAUUCGGGCUGAGAAGGUGGCAGAGACGAAAUCGUCAUCGCCGCCGACCCAUCGACCUGAUCCGGAUAAUGCCGGCGUAGGAAGCAGC